UACGUAGGGUGCAAGCGUUAAUCGGAAUUACUGGGCGUAAAGCGUGCGCAGGCGGUGAUGUAAGACCGAUGUGAAAUCCCCGGGCUUAACCUGGGAACUGCAUUGGUGACUGCAUUGCUAGAGUAUGGCAGAGGGGGGGGUGGAAUUCCACGUGUAGCAGUGAAAAUGCGUAGAGAUGUGGAGGAACACCGAUGGCGAAGGCAGCCCCC
rnacentral:rRNA from 1 species